AUAAUUGUAAUACCCGAAAAAUUCAAGUUAAUUUCCGAUGACGUUUUGGAAAUGAUUUCGUGGUCGUGGACACGAGUACGAAGCUUGGAGGAGUGUGGAAUUAGUUCGAACGAUUUUAUUUUGAAAACUGAACGUUUUAGGGGGGUCAAAGGAGUUGACUUUUUAUACAUUGGGAAAUUGGGAAAACUUCCUUCAUGAAAGUUGUAGAGCGCGUCGAUACGAGUUCGUGGACAUAUGGAACGCAAUAUUCGGAGUUCGUAUGAAUAAGUUACGAAUAUUUGAAAAUUGGGAUUUUCUAUAAAUAUGAAAAAAAAUCCGAAUAUUGCAAAUGAGGACAGAAUUUCUGGAACUCCAGAAAUUUCUCCCCAUUUCUCUCCCGAGCCCAGCCGCGACCCCCUCCCUUCGUCACCUUCGUUCUUCCUCAUCCGGCCACCGAUUGAUGUGAAACAAAGUGGGUUUUUCUGGUCUCGACCCCCUUUACGAGUUUGUAGAAGAAAUCGAAGUGAAAUACGAGCUGUAUGAGGCUCUACAAGGUCGAGAAGAGAGCCUCGUCGGAGACGAAAUCGCUCUUCCCCACUUUUUCUGGGCUCUACUUUGUCUGGCCAUAUCUUCCUCUACAGGCCUCCGAUCGACCUGAUUCCAAAAGCAAUUUUUCUCACCGUGAAGUUUUCUACAACUUUCCAGAAGACAUCGACUUGAGAUAACCAUCGUGGUGGCCGCUAGAAGACCGAGAAGCCGCACAGCCCGAGCUGGAAAUCGUCUUCCUUCGCCACCUUGGUUCUCCCAGCUCCGGCCACUAUAGCUCGAGUUCUUUGAGGGCUUUUCUAGCCCAGAGGAAGUAGAAGCUAUCCCCAACAAGGCUUGCAGCGAUUUGAUCCGGGGUGAUCGAAUUUUGAAGAUUGGGAAACUAGGGUUCUUCGGGUUUCAAAACUUGCGAGGUGAUCGAUGGAUUUAUUUGGCGGACGAUUCGUGAGAUUGUUAAUGGAGCUGUGAAGAAGACGCAGCUGGAUUAGAGCGGGUAAUCCUACAGGACAGGAGAACCAGGACGGUGAUCGUGCGGUUAGAGCAAUUGUUAGAGUUUUACAACAAUUGUAAGUUGUGAGGUGUGUUAUGCUCAUUUGAGCUUUAUAAUAUAUUGUGAGAGUGAAUGGUAAUAAUGAACUCGAAGUUUCAAUAUUUGGAUUUUGUAAUUGUAAUUAUUCAGGUUUCGGAUUUGAAUUUAUCAUUCAAAAAUCCGGGGCGUGACAAUAAUCUAGUCGUGAGAUGGUUAAUUUGCUCAUGUUAACUGUGAGUGUAAUCUGCAGGCUGCACCCAGUACUGGUAAUAUAGUGCAGCUAGCCUUUAUAUGGGGUAUCAGUCAAUAUAUAUAAUAGCAUAAAUUAAUUUU